ACUCUGCCAUUUCAGUGGCUUUUGAGGUUGUGGAGAAACUUUGUGCUACUUAGUGCUACUGUGGAGCUGCUAGAACUGUAGUACAAAUUGUAUUAUAGUAACAUACCAAAUAUUUAUGGAGACUAACCUUCAUGUGCUGAAGAACAUAACAUUAAACAGUGUCAGAUUUUGAAAGUUUAUUGGCAAAGAAACAUGUAAUUCCUCAGCAACACUUAAACCUACGGUGACAGAACGGCCAUACUCAUCAACAGCAGCAAAGACGAGUGGAAGGAUCGACUCUGUCACUGAUGGGAAAAAGAAGAAAGGUUCAGUAGGAAUGAGAUGAGUCGCACCACAGCAGAGCUCAUGUUCUUUGAAGACUCCGGCCGUCACAUCUUUCUGCUUAAGCCCUCUCCUGGCGGCGGGGAGCUUUCUAAUCCAAAACUCUUAACUGCUGUGACCACAAUUGAAACAUGAAAUUACCCUACAGUUAUGGAUCCUGAUGACUCUUUUCAACCAAGUGUAACAGAAGCUGGUGACUUUAGGCUACAGCACACAGUGCAUGAUAUGAGGCUAUUAACUGGAAAUACCAGAAAUAAA